rnacentral:misc_RNA from 1 species
UGAAAAUGGCGGCUUGUGCUAGAAGGGAGAAAGGUCUUUACGCAGCUUUAAACAGCGCAUCAACAGCUGACGUUCUCCCUCGCAGUGUCAAAAAGAGAAGAAAAGCAUCGAGCCAAAUGCGGGAAGUAGAGCGUCUUAUCGCUCGAAGGGAAAGUGCUACGGGUACUGAGUACUUAGUUUUAUGGAAGGGAUAUUCUCCUUAUGACUCUAGCUGGGAACCGGAGGAAAAUGUCACCCUCGAUUGUAUCCGAUUAUUUGAGAAUCCAUCCCCAGCAGAGUUAAUAGUAUUUGAUGAUUGUACAACUCUUCGAGUGGCGGUAGAGCAGCACUUAAAAUCUGAAACAAGCCUCAAUACAGCUACAGGCUUUAGACAACUGUGAUUCAAGCCUUGCACUUGCGCUGUUUAGACGAAAUGCAGUUCCUGGUAUAUUCAAAUUUACUAGGUCAAUAUACCGUACCCCAGCACCGAGGGUUCCUGAAAGCAGAUAUCUUCUCCAGGUGGCAAGGGCCUCUAAUUUCACGACCUCAUUGUCUCUUUGACAUUACUCCUUGACAUAAUUAAACUGUGUAUUUUGGCACUCCACUAGGGAAAGAAUUUCUUUUGAUUGAAAGACAGACGACAUUUCGAAAAUUCGCUUGGUGCAUGUAGCAUAAACAAUACAAACGUAAUAACAUUGGCACACCUAUGAACUUUCUUUGAAAAAACCCGCGAAAAGUUCGCAGAAAGUAUGGGUAAUUUCAGCUCCAGUCUCCCUAGGUAAAAUCAAUGCUUUACUUUAACGCCUGGGGAAUUGUUUUGUUAAAAAUGGCGUACUCGAAGGUGAAAGCGGCAGCUUUUCUCUCUCGAAUCCGCCAUAGAGUGUAGGUUAUGUCGCGUUUAUCGGAGCGACAAGUGUUUUCAGCUUUGAAAACCGAACCCAUCUAGUGAAGAAUCGACGAGAUAUUGUGCACUAAAACGAAGUGAUGUUGGAAUUUACUAAAUGGAUAGAAGUUAAAUGAAAGAACAAUAACAGCUGAUGCAACAAAUGAUGUUACCUUUUCACGUAAAGAGCUCCUUGAAAACUUGCUGGCCA